GGGCCAGACUCCUACGGGAGGCAGCAGUGGGGGAUAUUGCACAAUGGGGGGAACCCUGAUGCAGCGACGCCGCGUGGGUGAAGGAGUAUUUCGGUAUGUAAAGCCCCAUCGGCAGGGAAGAAUUUAGACGGUACCUGACUAAGAAGCCCCGGCUAACUACGUGCCAGCAGCCGCGGUAAUACGUAGGGGGCAAGCGUUAUCCGGAUUCACUGGGUGUAAAGGGAGCGUAGACGGCUGAGCAAGCCUGAAGUGAAAGGCGGGGGCCCAACCCCUGGACUGCUUUGGGAACUGUACGGCUGGAGUGCAGGAGAGGUAAGUGGAAUUCCUAGUGUAGCGGUGAAAUGCGUAGAUAUUAGGAGGAACACCAGUGGCGAAGGCGGCUUACUGGACUGUAACUGACGUUGAGGCUCGAAAGCGUGGGGAGCAAACAGGAUUAGAUACCCCGGUAAA
rnacentral:rRNA from 1 species